rnacentral:tRNA from 1 species
GGGCUCAUAGUUCAAUGGUAGGAUACCUCACUUGCACUGAGGAGAUUCGGGUUCGAUUCCCGAUGAGUCCA